rnacentral:rRNA from 1 species
AAUGAACGUUGGCGGCGUGGAUUAGGCAUGCAAGUCGAGCGCGAUGAGUUUGGUAGCUUGCUAUUGAACUCGGAAAGCGGCGAAAGGGAGAGUAACGCGUAGUUACGUGCCCCAGGGUUCGGAAUAGCCACGGGAAACUGUGGGUAAUGCCGAAUAACAUCUCCGGAUCAAAGGUGUGAUUCCGCCCUGGGAGCGGACUGCGUCCUACUAGCUAGUUGGCGGGGUAAUGGCCCACCAAGGCAACAAUGGGUAGCGGGUGUGAGAGCAUGACCCGUCUCACUGGGACUGAGACACUGCCCAGACACCUACGGGUGGCUGCAGUCGAGAAUCUUCGGCAAUGGGCGAAAGCCUGACCGAGCGACGCCGCGUGCGGGAUGAAGGCCCUCGGGUUGUAAACCGCUGUCGUAGGGGAGGAAGGCUCUGUGAAGAACAGGGUUUGACCUAUCCUAGGAGGAAGUACGGGCUAAGUUCGUGCCAGCCGCCGCAGAGA